AAUGAACGCUGGCGGCAUGCCUAGCACAUGCAAGUCGAACGAAGGCUUCGGCCUUAGUGGCGCACGGGUGCGUAACGCGUGGGAAUCUGCCCUCAGGUUCGGAAUAACAGCGAGAAAUUGCUGCUAAUACCGGAAGAUAUCGCGAGAUCAAAGAUUUAUCGCCUGAGGAUGAGCCCGCGUAGGAUUAGCUAGUUGGUGUGGUAAAGGCGCACCAAGGCGACGAUCCUUAGCUGGUCUGAGAGGAUGAUCAGCCACACUGGGACUGAGACACGGCCCAGACUCCUACGGGAGGCAGCAGUGGGGAAUAUUGGACAAUGGGCGAAAGCCUGAUCCAGCAAUGCCGCGUGAGUGAUGAAGGCCUUAGGGUUGUAAAGCUCUUUUACCCGGGAUGAUAAUGACAGUACCGGGAGAAUAAGCUCCGGCUAACUCCGUGCCAGCAGCCGCCGUAA
rnacentral:rRNA from 1 species